rnacentral:rRNA from 1 species
AAAGGAAAGACCGGUGCAAGCGGGACAGUAGCCAUGCAGGCAAAUCCGUGUGGCAAUACGAAGGCGUGACGCGGACCGAAAUAAAGUAGGGAAGCAUGUGAGCCAUGUGCCAAGAAAAGCCGCUAUAGAUCAUAUCGUACCCGUACCGUAAACCGACACAGGUAGAUGAGGAGAGAAUCCUAAGGCCGACGGGAGAAGCAUUGUUAAGGAACUCGGCAAAAUGACCCCGUAACUUCGGGAGAAGGGGUGCCCACGCGAGUGGGCCGCAGAGAAUAGGCUCAAGCAACUGUUUAGCAAAAACACAGGUCUAUGCGAAACCGAAAGGUGAGGUAUAUGGGCUGACGCCUGCCCGGUGCUGGAAGGUUAAGAGGAGGAGUCAGGCAACGAAGCUCCGAAUUUAAGCCCCAGUAAACGGCGGCCGUAACAAUAACGGUCCUAAGGUAGCGAAAUUCCUUGUCGGGUAAGUUCCGACCCGCACGAAAGGCGUAAUGAUUUGAGCACUGUCUCGACAAUGCACCCGGUGAAAUUGAAGUACCAGUGAAGAUGCUGGUUACCUGCGCCAGGACGGAAAGACCCCAUGGAGCUUUACUCCAGUUUGAUACUGGGAUUCGAUACUGAAUGUACAGGAUAGGUGGGAGGCUGAGAAGCGUGGACGCCAGUCUGCGGUGAGCCGCUGUUGGGAUACCACCCUUUGAGUAUUGGAUUUCUAACCUGCGCCCGUGACCCGGGCGGGGGACAAUGUCUGACGGGGAGUUUGACUGGGGCGGUCGCCUCCGAAAGGGUAUCGGAGGCGCUCAAAGGUUCCCUCAGAAUGGUUGGAAACCAUUCGCAGAGUGCAAAGGCAGAAGGGAGCUUGACUGUGACACCGACGGGUGGAGCAGGUACGAAAGUAGGACUUAGUGAUCCGGUGGUAUGAAAGUGGGAUUGCCAUCGCUCAACGGAUAAAGGCUACCCUGGGAUAACAGGCUUAUCACUCCCAAGAGUUCACAUCGACGGAGUGGUUUGGCACCUCGAUGUCGGCUCAUCGCAUCCUGGGGCUGUAGCAGGUCCCAAGGGUUGGGCUGUUCGCCCAUUAAAGCGGUACGCGAGCUGGGUUCAGAACGUCGUGAGACAGUUCGGUCCCUAUCCGGCGCAGGCGUAGGAUAUUUGAGAGGAGCUGUCCUUAGUACGAGAGGACCGGGAUGGACAGACCGCUGGUGUAUCUGUUGGUGACCAACACCAUGGCAGAGUAGCCAAGUCUGGCAGGGAUAAACGCUGAAGGCAUCUAAGCGUGAAGCCCCCCUCAAGAUGAGAUAUCCCAAUAAGUAAGACCCCUUAGAGAGUAUGAGGUAGAUAGGCUUAAGGUGUAAGCAUAGUAAUAUGUUCAGCUGAUAAGUACUAAUAGGUCGAGGGCUUACC